rnacentral:rRNA from 1 species
GACGAACGCUGGCGGCGUGCUUAACACAUGCAAGUCGAACGGAAAGGCCCUGCUUUUGUGGGGUGCUCGAGUGGCGAACGGGUGAGUAACACGUGAGUAACCUGCCCUUGACUUUGGGAUAACUUCAGGAAACUGGGGCUAAUACCGGAUAGGAGCUCCUGCUGCAUGGUGGGGGUUGGAAAGUUUCGGCGGUUGGGGAUGGACUCGCGGCUUAUCAGCUUGUUGGUGGGGUAGUGGCUUACCAAGGCUUUGACGGGUAGCCGGCCUGAGAGGGUGACCGGCAACAUGGGGAAUAAGAGAAGGCGCAGAGGAGGACGGGAGGCAGCAGUGGGGAAGAUGGCACAAUGGGAGGAGGCGUGAAGCAGCAAAGGCGCGUGAGGGAGGAGGGCGGUCGGGUAGGAAAAAGCUAUCGCCGGUGACGAAGAGGGAGUGACGGUAAGGGGUAAAGAAGCAAAAGCUAACUAAGU